UGCCCUACGGGAGGCAGCAGUGGGGAAUAUUGCACAAUGGGGGGAACCCUGAUGCAGCGACGCCGCGUGGGUGAAGGAGCACCUCGGUGCGUAAAGCCCUAUCGGCAGGGAAGAAAAGCGAACAGGUUCGCCUGGACGGUACCUGACUAAGAAGCCCCGGCUAACUACGUGCCAGCAGCCGCGGUAAUACGUAGGGGGCAAGCGUUAUCCGGAUUUACUGGGUGUAAAGUGGGCGCAGACGGCAGCGCAAGCCCGGAGUGAAAGCCCGUGGCCCAACCCCGGGACU
rnacentral:rRNA from 1 species